UACGUAGGGUGCAAGCGUUGUCCGGAAUUAUUGGGCGUAAAGGGCUCGUAGGCGGUUUGUCACGUCGGGAGUGAACACUUGGGGCUUAACCCCAUUCGUGCUUCCGAUACGGGCAGACUAGAGGCAGGCAGGGGAGAACGGAAUUCCUGGUGUAGCGGUGGAAUGCGCAGAUAUCAGGAGGAACACCGGUGGCGAAGGCGGUUCUCUGGGCCUGUUCUGACGCUGAGGAGCGAAAGCGUGGGGAGCGAACAGG
rnacentral:rRNA from 1 species